UACGAAGGGGGCUAGCGUUGCUCGGAAUCACUGGGCGUAAAGCGCACGUAGGCGGAUCGUUAAGUCGGGGGGUGAAAUCCUGGAGCUCAACUCCAGAACUGCCUUCGAUACUGGCGAUCUUGGAGUCCGGGAGAGGUGAGUGGAACUCCGAGUGUAGAGGUGAGAUUCGUAGAUAUUCGGAAGAACACCAGUGGCGAAGGCGGCUCACUGGCCCGGUACUGACGCUGAGGUGCGAAAGCGUGGGGAGCAAACAGG
rnacentral:rRNA from 1 species